UCCCAGUCUUGACGAUUUAGCUGCUUGGCGGUGGCUCUCUCCCAUUUUUCUUGCAUAUUCGAUGCUCUGCUCCGGGAAGGUUGAAUAAGUAGAAGAAGAUGGGAAGUAAGAUCGUUUCUUUGGUGGGUUUAAAGGGUUUUGUAAUGGCUGUAAAUCCAAUCUUUGAUAGAAAUGCUGGUUUUGAUCUUGCUGGAGAAGAAACGGUAACUGUUGAUGGUAGUAAUGGUGUUUCUGAGGCUGGUGGUGAUCCCCUUCUCCUUGCUCUCCUUCUCCUUCUCCUCCUCCUCCUACAUGUCUCGAAUUUAGGGCUAUGAUGUCUUGAUGUUGAUGAAAAUGGUGAAGGUGAUGAUGAUUCCUUUGAGGAUCCAGACUCAGGCCCUUGUUGUGGUUUUUCUGUUCCAGCUUUUAAUGGAAGGCACUUAUCUUUAGUGGGUGGUGGUUGUUUCUUUACUGCUCUGUCUUUGCUUCUACUUGCUAAUCUCUUCUUGUUG
rnacentral:lncRNA from 1 species